CCAGGUAUGGGUCCUGGAUUUGAACCCGGAUCCUUCAGAGUAGUAAGCCACAGUUUUACCACGCGGCCAUCCGGCCGACUCGGUUUCCUUCGUUCCUCCAACACUCGGAACGUUAACGCCUAACCUCGAUCUGGCCAAAUAUAAAUAGGCAAACUCGGUACCUCCGUUCUAGUGAUUCUCAUUUUCUUUCGAUUUGUUAUUAAAUAAAUUACAAAAUCACAAUAUGGAUACGAAUUAGCACGGAUCCAUCCGCAUUAUUCCUUUUCUGAUUACUCGGCGUCGGGCCUGGUAGAAAAGCAUUAGCUCACCAUUUUAAAGAAUGAGUUCAAUUGCGGGUUCCCCGCUUCCAGGUUUGGGAAAGGCGCCGGUACUCGGCUAAUCGAAUCCCAUUCUUCGAUCCUUCUGUUCUCUAUCCUAGGUAUCGACUGGCCGGUGUGGCUCUAAAAGUGGCCGAGUCAGUCGGAUGGCCGCGUGAUAAAACUGUGGCCUACCAUAAUGGAUGAUCAGGGCUCACUCUGGGUCCCACGUCUACAGGUUUCGGGAAGGAUCCGGGCCCUGUCCGUUGAACCCGAUCAUUCGACUUUCCGGUCGACUCCAUUACAGAUGUGGCCAGCCGGUGAUGGAUUUUACUAGUGGCUGCCACCAGAUGAAGUAUGUCCCUGGCGUGAUAUGGCCGCUUAACUACACUUCUUUCUUUACGUACAUAUAAGAAAUAAUAUUUCGUAUAUGUACUCGAUAUAGCUAUUUCGAUAUUUUCUGAAUAUAUCAAUACUUAUUCGCCGAUACUUGGUAGUAUCUAGAAAUUCGAAAAAUUUAAUAUUUGGUACAAGAUUUUUUCAGUUACAGUACAUAUAAAAAACGAUAUGGUUGGACUUUCGAUUUUUUAACCUAAUUAUUAGUAACGUCGAAAAGGCUGACUCUACAUUCUUAUUCCAUUUUAAUCUUAUAUUUCUUUAAAAUUAUUCAUUGAAAUUUUUGAUAGUGAUAUUCAGGGCUCGAAAUAAUGGUCGCCAGCUCGCCAUUGGUGACUGAGAAAUUGCAGCUGGCGAGUCUGAUGAGAUAAUCUUG
rnacentral:lncRNA from 1 species